AGACGUCUACAUUAGAUACCCCGGUAGUCCCAGCCGUAAACUAUGCGCGUUAGGUGUAUCGGUGGCCACGAGUCACCGAGGUGCCGAAGGGAAACCGUGAAACGUGCCGCCUGGGAAGUACGGUCGCAAGGCUGAAACUUAAAGGAAUUGGCGGGGAGCACCACAACGGGUGGAGCCUGCGGUUUAAUUGGACUCAACGCCGGGAAGCUCACCGGAUAAGACAGCGGAAUGAUUGCCGGGCUGAAGACUCUGCAUGACUAGCUG
rnacentral:rRNA from 1 species